AGAGUGAACGCUGGCGGUAGGCCUAACACAUGCAAGUCGAACGGCGGCACAGGAGAGCUUGCUCUCUGGGUGGCGAGUGGCGGACGGGUGAGGAAUACAUCGGAAUCUACCUUUUCGUGGGGGAUAACGUAGGGAAACUUACGCUAAUACCGCAUAAGACCUUCGGGUGAAAGCCGGGGACCUUCGGGCCUGGCGCGGAUAGAUGAGCCGAUGUCGGAUUAGCUUGUUGGCGGGGUAAAAGCCCACCAAGGCGACGAUCCGUAGCUGGUCUGAGAGGAUGAUCAGCCACACUGGAACUGAGACACGGUCCAGACUCCUACGGAGGCAGCAGUGGGAAUAUUGGACAAUGGGCGCAAGCCUGAUCCAGCCAUACCGCGUGGGUGAAGAAGGCCUUACGGGUUGUAAAGCCCGUUUUAGUUAGGGAAAGAAAGUCCUAGACCGGUUAAUAACCAGUAACGGAUUGACCGGUAACCAAAGAAUAAAGCGAACCGGACUAACUUCCGUGACCAGCAGCCG
rnacentral:rRNA from 1 species